rnacentral:rRNA from 1 species
UGAACGCUGGCGGUCUGCUUAACACAUGCAAGUCGAACGCAACCUUCGGGUUGAGUGGCGGACGGGUGAGUAACGCGUGAGAAUCUGCCUUGGGGUCGGGGACAACCACUGGAAACGGUGGCUAAUACCGGAUAAGCCUUUGGGUAAAAAAUUUAUUGCCCCAAGAGGAGCUCGCGUCUGAUUAGCUAGUUGGUGAGGUAAAAGCUCACCAAGGCAGCGAUCAGUAGCUGGUCUGAGAGGACGAUCAGCCACACUGGGACUGAGACACGGCCCAGACUCCUACGGGAGGCAGCAGUGGGGAAUUUUCCGCAAUGGGCGAAAGCCUGACGGAGCAAGACCGCGUGAGGGAGGAAGGCUCUUGGGUUGUAAACCUCUUUUCUCAGGGAAGAAGCUCUGACGGUACCUGAGGAAUCAGCCUCGGCUAACUCCGUGCCAGCAGCCGCGGUAAUACGGAGGAGGCAAGCGUUAUCCGGAAUUAUUGGGCGUAAAGCGUCCGCAGGUGGCGAUUCAAGUCUGCUGUCAAAGCACGGGGCUUAACUCCGUUAAGGCAGUGGAAACUGAAUAGCUAAAGUGCCGUAGGGGUAGAGGGAAUUCCCGGUGUAGCGGUGAAAUGCGUAGAGAUCGGGAAGAACAUCGGUGGCGAAAGCGCUCUACUGGACGGCAACUGACACUCAGGGACGAAAGCUAGGGGAGCGAAUGGGAUUAGAUACCCCAGUAGUCCUAGCUGUAAACGAUGGAUACUAGGUGUAGCUUGUAUCGACCCGAGCUGUGCCGAAGCUAACGCGUUAAGUAUCCCGCCUGGGGAGUACGCACGCAAGUGUGAAACUCAAAGGAAUUGACGGGGGCCCGCACAAGCGGUGGAGUAUGUGGUUUAAUUCGAUGCAACGCGCAGAACCUUACCAGGGCAUGACAUGUCACGGAAUCCCGAUGAAAGAUGGGAGUGCCUUCGGGAGCCGGAACACAGGUGGUGCAUGGCUCUCGUCAGCUCGUGUCAUGAGAUGUUGGGUUAAGUCCCGCAACGAGCGCAUCCCUCGUCUUUAGUUGCCAGCAUUAAGUUGGUCACUCUAGAGAGACUGCCGCUGACAGAGCCGGAGGAAGGUGGGGAUGACGUCAAGUCAGCAUGCCCCUUACGCUCUGGGCGACACACGUACUACAAUGGUCGGGACAGAGGGCAGCGA